UGGGGAAUUUUGGACGAUGGGGGCAACCCUGAUCCAGCAACGCCGCGUGAAUGAAGAAGGCCUUAGGGUUGUAAAGUUCUUUUGUCGCAGAGCAAAGGUUAAUGGUUAAUAGCUAUUAACGCUGAGAGUAUGCGAAGAAUAAGCACCGGCUAACUACGUGCCAGCAGCCGCGGUAAUACGUAGGGUGCGAGCGUUAAUCGGAAUUACUGGGCGUAAAGCGUGCGCAGGCGGAUGUUUAAGUUAGGAGUGAAAUCCCCGGGCUCAACCUGGGAAUAGCUUUUAAGACUGGGCAUCUAGAGUUUGUCAGAGGGGGGUAGAAUUCCAGGUGUAGCGGUGAAAUGCGUAGAGAUCUGGAGGAAUACCGGUGGCGAAGGCGGCCCCCUGGACAAAGACUGACGCU
rnacentral:rRNA from 1 species